rnacentral:rRNA from 1 species
UGGUUCCUUAGAUCGUACUCACAAUUACUUGGAUAACUGUGGUAAUUCUAGAGCUAAUACAUGCAAAUAGAGCUCCGACCGGAGACGGAAGGAGUGCUUUUAUUAGAUCAAAACCAAUCGGUGGCGGGUUCGCGCUCGUCAUCGUACAAUUUGGUGACUCUGAAUAACUUUACGCUGAUCGCACGGUCAUCGCACCGGCGACGCAUCUUUCAAAUGUCUGCCUUAUCAACUGUCGAUGGUAGGUUCUGCGCCUACCAUGGUUGUAACGGGUAACGGGGAAUCAGGGUUC